AUCUCAUAUUAGUUUCCCUUUUAUGUUGCAUUACUGAAGUAAAUGAACUUUUGCAUGAUAUUCUAAUUUUGAGUAUCACCUGUAUAUCUGUAUGUGCAGCAUUUUGUACAGAAAUGCUGCACACUCACAUUCCAAGCACCACAACUACUUCAAAGCACUGAAAUGAGCAUGGUGAUUGGAGUAACCCCAUGGGUGUAGGAACCCCCAAAAAUCUGGGGGGGGAAAUAGCAUUUUUACUCGCCGGAUAUAUUCUUAUUCCGUAAACUAGGAGUGGUUUAUCCCAUUGUACAGCGCUAUGGAAUUUGCAGUUGCUAUAUAAAUGAUUAAAUAAACAUUAAAGGGUCACUACAGGGAAGGGAUUUUACUUACCCGGAUACAUCGCCUGGAUCCUCCUGAUGCCGCGCCCCCUCUUGUCAAAAUGACGACAUAGGAGGGUGCGAGCAGGGAGCAAUAAAAUGCUUCUAUUCAGAAGAGUCAUUGCUCUCUGGUGCGCAUGCGCAGCUUUGCCGCACAUGCACAGAUACUUCAUAGGGCGGCAUUCAUGUCUCGACUAGGAAGCACCUCUAGUGGCCAUCUGAGUGUCCACUAGAGGUAUUCCUCAGCAGUAAUGUAAAUACUGUCUUUAUACGAUAUGGCAAUGCUUACAUUAAAAAGCCUGCGAAGACAUGCUAUAGACACCAGAACUACUACGUUUAGCUGUUGUGGUUCUGGUGACUAUAGUGUCCCUUGAAUAUAGAG